rnacentral:rRNA from 1 species
AACGAACGCUGGCGGCAUGCCUAACACAUGCAAGUCGAACGAGACCUUCGGGUCUAGUGGCGCACGGGUGCGUAACGCGUGGGAACCUGCCCUUAGGUUCGGAAUAACUCCCCGAAAGGGGUGCUAAUACCGGAUAAUGUCUUCGGACCAAAGAUUUAUCGCCUUUGGAUGGGCCCGCGUUGGAUUAGCUAGUUGGUAGGGUAAAAGCCUACCAAGGCGACGAUCCAUAGCUGGUCUGAGAGGAUGAUCAGCCACACUGGGACUGAGACACGGCCCAGACUCCUACGGGAGGCAGCAGUGGGGAAUAUAGGACAAUGGGCGAAAGCCUGAUCCAGCAAGGCCGCGUGAGUGAUGAAGGCCUUAGGGUUGUAAAGCUCUUUUACCCGGGAUGAUAAUGACAGUACCGGGAGAAUAAGCUCCGGCAAACUCCGU